CGUCUCCUCACAACUCUGUAAACUUCAGCUACUCACUAGAUUCAAAAUGGGAUAGGUGUUCUAAGGUCCGAUCCCUCUCCAAUAUUUGGAACUGGAAUUAACGGGAGAGCUUCUAGAUCUUCAGGGAUAAAGAAAGUUGAGGUGAUAUUGUCUGCUAAUCUUGUUUUUUCAAUGGAUAAAUCUUGGAUUCGAAUGCCAAGGACCACAAAAGAAUAUUUGGUUGGCUUGAAUCAGUUCCUAGAAUUUGCAUUUAAAAAUGGAGCUAUAGAAGAUAGAAUAAAAUGCCCGUGUCCUCAAUGUUGUUUUGGAAAAUGGCAGACUAGAGCUGUAGUGUUUGAUCAUUUGAUUUGCAAGCCGUUUCCUCAAAAUUAUGUCAUUUGGGUUAUGCAU